AUUGUUGUAAAAGUUGUCAGAUGGAUAGACUUAGGCUAGAUGGGGAACAAUUAAACUUCCUCACAAUAUCGAGCAACCAAACGCAACUACUGUCCAAUUUAAUCAAACAUAAUUUAUAUUGCAGAGGCUGGUCGGAGAGUGCAGCCAAAUCUGAGCCGGUCCAGAGUGUCGUAAAAUUAGUAAAAUAGUGUGUGCUGUGGCUGACAUCAAUACUAUUCAGCUGCCUAAAAAUACAAUGCUAAGCAAUUGGACAAUAUCACAUAGUGGCUGAAGAGGAGUGUAGCGACUCGGAUGCAGGGGAUGUCCAGUCUUGAGUGAAGUACUACCACAUGUCAAGAAGUUUCAGGACAGGAUAAAAAUUCUGAAGACAGGCAGUCUACUUCAAGAAAGAAAAUUGGGGACAUUAAGAAAUCAUUAUUGGCAUCAGUUCAAACAGGGAAAUCCAGAAGGCCCUAGUCACAGAGAGAGAAAUUGUUGAACACCAUUUCAAGGACUUCCUGAAGGAAAUAAAGAUCCCUGGAGAAGUGGACUGACUGUCAAAGAUGCCUAGACUAAGGGAUAAUUGAAGAGACUGGAAAGCAGUAAAAUACUUUGUCCACAACAAUAUUAAGAACAAUAACACUGGGAGCCAGAACUGAGAGACCCCAUCUUGUGGAGCAUCAAUGCUACGUGCCUAAAUACUGAGAGCUUGAGUUAUGGAGCAAAGCUGUUCUUAUAGUGUUACAUGUGGAAAGCCAUUUCUGUCGCAG